CGGACUAUAUUUACAUUGUCUAAAUAAAUAUUUCUUGCUUGCUUCAAAAACUAAUAUAGGUUAAAAGCCGCUUGGAUCCUAUUUUGGACCGAGACGGAAGG
rfam:Clostridiaceae bacterium BRH_c20a BRHa_1004504, whole genome shotgun sequence.